CGCAUCUGUGCAUGCAGCAUAUCAAUAAGCGGAGGAAAAGAAACUAACAAGGAUUCCCCUAGUAACGGCGAGUGAAGCGGGAAGAGCUCAAAUUUGAAAUCUUAAAGGGUUUCCCUUUACGAAUUGUAGUUUAAAGAAGUGUUUUCUGUUGAGGUUUUGGUAAAAGUUCUUUGGAAUAGGACAUCAUAGAGGGUGAGAAUCCCGUAUUUGACCUUUACUUUCAACUUUGUGAUACACUUUUCAAAGAGUCGGAUUGUUUGGGAAUGCAGUCCAAAAUGGGUGGUAAAUUUCAUCUAAAGCUAAAUAUUGGCGAGAGACCGAUAGCGAACAAGUACCGUGAGGGAAAGAUGAAAAGAACUUUGAAAAGAGAGUUAAACAGUACGUGAAAUUGUCAAAAGGGAAGCGUUUGACACCAGUGUUGUUUUUCUGAAAAUCAAUUAAAGAACUGUUUAUGCUGAAGCUGUUUAGACUUUAUCAGCUAACUGUUUAGUUUUGAGCUUUUCUUUAAUGCACUUUUCAGUUAACAAGUCAACAUCAAUUUCUUUUGCUGUAAAAAAGCUUGAGGAAGGUGGCUUGAGAUUCGUCUUAAGUGUUUAUAGCCUCUUGCCUAUGCAGUCGGAGAGAUUGAGGUCUGCAGCGUAGAUCCUUCGGGGCUAAAUGCAUUUGUGCUAAGUUAUAGCAUUUUAUAGACAACUUGUUGACUAUGAUUUGUCUUGUAGCUUACUCGCUUAUGUUAUUUUACCUACGCUUAGGAUGUUGAAUCUGUGCGAGACUAC
rnacentral:rRNA from 1 species